CCCUNUANGACGCCCCAUUCCAGGAGACUUGUACACGGUCCAGCGCGGAUAAUACUUCUCUAGAUUACAACUCGGACAGCCAAAGACUGCCAGAUUUUAAAUUUGAGCUUUUCCCGCUUCACUCGCAGUUACUAGGGGAAUCCUUGUUAGUUUCUUUUCCUCUUGGUCCAUUAGAGGAAGUAAAAGUCGUAACAAGGUUUCCGUAGGUGAACCUGCGGAAGGAUCAUUAUUGAAUAAACCUGAUGUGGCUGUUAGCUGGCUUUUCGAAGCAUGUGCUCGUCCGUCAUCUUUAUCUCUCCACCUGUGCACAUUUUGUAGUCUUGGAUAACUCUCGAGGCAACUCGGAUUUUAGAAUCGCCGUGCUGUACAAGUCGGCUUUCCUUUCAUUUCCAAGACUAUGUUUUUAUAUACACCAAAGUAUGUUCAAAGAAUGUCAUCAAUGGGAACUUGUUUCCUAUAAAAUUAUACAACUUUCAGCAACGGAUCUCUUGGCUCUCGCAUCGAUGAAGAACGCAGCGAAAUGCGAUAAGUAAUGUGAAUUGCAGAAUUCAGUGAAUCAUCGAAUCUUUGAACGCACCUUGCGCUCCUUGGUAUUCCGAGGAGCAUGCCUGUUUGAGUGUCAUUAAAUUCUCAACCUUCCAACUUUUAUUAGCUUGGUUAGGCUUGGAUGUGGGGGUUGCGGGCUUCAUUAACGAGGUCGGCUCUCCUUAAAUGCAUUAGCGGAACUUUUGUGGACCGUCUAUUGGUGUGAUAAUUAUCUACGCCGUGGAUGUGAAGCAGCUUUAUGAAGUUCAGCUUCUAACCGUCCAUUUAUUUGGACAAUUUUUGACAAUUUGACCUCAAAUCAGGUAGGACUACCCGCUGAACUUAAGCAUAUCAAUAAGCGGAGGAAAAGAAACUAACAAGGAUUCCCCUAGUAACUGCGAGUGAAGCGGGAAAAGCUCAAAUUUAAAAUCUGGCAGUCUUUGGCUGUCCGAGUUGUAAUCUAGAGAAGUAUUAUCCGCGCUGGACCGUGUACAAGUCUCCUGGAAUGGGGCGUCAUAGAGGG
rnacentral:rRNA from 1 species